GAAAUGCGAUAAUUAAUGUGAAUUGCAGAAUUCAGUGAAUCAUCGAGUCUUUGAACGCACAUUGCGCCCCCUGGUAUUCCGGGGGGCAUGCCUGUCCGAGCGUCAUUGCUGCCCUCAAGCACGGCUUGUGUGUUGGGCUUCCGUCCCUGGCAACGGGGACGGGCCCAAAAGGCAGUGGCGGCACCAUGUCUGGUCCUCGAGCGUAUGGGGCUUUGUCACCCGCUCCCGUAGGUCCAGCUGGCAGCUAGCCUCGCAACCAAUCUUUUUAACCAGGUUGACCUCGGAUCAGGUAGGAUUUCCCGCUGAACUUAAGC
rnacentral:misc_RNA from 1 species